rnacentral:rRNA from 1 species
GACGAACGCUGGCGGCGUGCCUAAUACAUGCAAGUUGAGCGCUGAAGGUUGGUACUUGUACCAACUGGAUGAGCAGCGAACGGGUGAGUAACGCGUGGGGAAUCUGCCUUUGAGCGGGGGACAACAUUUGGAAACGAAUGCUAAUACCGCAUAAAAACUUUAAACACAAGUUUUAAGUUUGAAAGAUGCAAUUGCAUCACUCAAAGAUGAUCCCGCGUUGUAUUAGCUAGUUGGUGAGGUAAAGGCUCACCAAGGCGAUGAUACAUAGCCGACCUGAGAGGGUGAUCGGCCACAAUGGGACUGAGACACGGCCCAAACUCCUACGGGAGGCAGCAGUAGGGAAUCUUCGGCAAUGGACGAAAGGCUGAACGAGCAACGCCGCGUGAGUGAAGAAGGGUUUCGGAUCGUAAAACUCUGUUGGUAGAGAAGAACGUUGGUGAGAGUGGAAAGCUCAUCAAGUGACGGUAACUACCCAGAAAGGGACGGCUAACUACGUG